GGGGGUGUAGCUUAGAUGGUGAUGCACUCGCUUGGCAUGUGAGAGGUACGGGGAUCGAUACUCUGCAUCUCCA
rnacentral:tRNA from 1 species